rnacentral:rRNA from 1 species
AGAUUGAACGCUGGCGGCAUGCCUAACACAUGCAAGUCGAACGGGAGUAGCAAUACUCUAGUGGCGGACGGGUGAGGAAUACGUAGGAAUUUGCCCUUAAGUGGGGAUAACCCGGGGAAACCCGGAUUAAUACCGCAUGACCUCGAAAGAGCAAAGUGGGGGAUCGCAAGACCUCACGCUUUUGGAGAAGCCUACGUCGGAUUAGCUAGUUGGUGAGGUAACUGGCUCACCAAGGCGACGAUCCGUAACUGGUCUGAGAGGAUGAUCAGUCACACCGG